AGAGUUUGAUCAUGGCUCAGAUUGAACGCUGGCGGCAGGCCUAACACAUGCAAGUCGAACGGUAACAGGAAGCAGCUUGCUGCUUCGCUGACGAGUGGCGGACGGGUGAGUAAUGUCUGGGAAGCUGCCUGAUGGAGGGGGAUAACUACUGGAAACGGUAGCUAAUACCGCAUAAUGUCGCAAGACCAAAGAGGGGGACCUUCGGGCCUCUUGCCAUCGGAUGUGCCCAGAUGGGAUUAGCUUGUUGGUGGGGUAACGGCUCACCAAGGCGACGAUCCCUAGCUGGUCUGAGAGGAUGACCAGCCACACUGGAACUGAGACACGGUCCAGACUCCUACGGGAGGCAGCAGUGGGGAAUAUUGCACAAUGGGCGCAAGCCUGAUGCAGCCAUGCCGCGUGUAUGAAGAAGGCCUUCGGGUUGUAAAGUACUUUCAGCGGGGAGGAAGGGAGUAAAGUUAAUACCUUUGCUCAUUGACGUUACCCGCAGAAGAAGCACCGGCUAACUCCGUGCCAGCAGCCGCGGUAAUACGGAGGGUGCAAGCGUUAAUCGGAAUUACUGGGCGUAAAGCGCACGCAGGCGGUUUGUUAAGUCAGAUGUGAAAUCCCCGGGCUCAACCUGGGAACUGCAUCUGAUACUGGCAAGCUUGAGUCUCGUAGAGGGGGGUAGAAUUCCAGGUGUAGCGGUGAAAUGCGUAGAGAUCUGGAGGAAUACCGGUGGCGAAGGCGGCCCCCUGGACGAAGACUGACGCUCAGGUGCGAAAGCGUGGGGAGCAAACAGGAUUAGAUACCCUGGUAGUCCACGCCGUAAACGAUGUCGACUUGGAGGUUGUGCCCUUGAGGCGUGGCUUCCGGAGCUAACGCGUUAAGUCGACCGCCUGGGGAGUACGGCCGCAAAGUUAAAACUCAAAUGAAUUGACGGGGGCCCGCACAAGCGGUGGAGCAUGUGGUUUAAUUCGAUGCAACGCGAAGAACCUUACCUGGUCUUGACAUCCACGGAAGUUUUCAGAGAUGAGAAUGUGCCUUCGGGAACCGUGAGACAGGUGCUGCAUGGCUGUCGUCAGCUCGUGUUGUGAAAUGUUGGGUUAAGUCCCGCAACGAGCGCAACCCUUAUCCUUUGUUGCCAGCGGUCCGGCCGGGAACUCAAAGGAGACUGCCAGUGAUAAACUGGAGGAAGGUGGGGAUGACGUCAAGUCAUCAUGGCCCUUACGACCAGGGCUACACACGUGCUACAAUGGCGCAUACAAAGAGAAGCGACCUCGCGAGAGCAAGCGGACCUCAUAAAGUGCGUCGUAGUCCGGAUUGGAGUCUGCAACUCGACUCCAUGAAGUCGGAAUCGCUAGUAAUCGUGGAUCAGAAUGCCACGGUGAAUACGUUCCCGGGCCUUGUACACACCGCCCGUCACACCAUGGGAGUGGGUUGCAAAAGAAGUAGGUAGCUUAACCUUCGGGAGGGCGCUUACCACUUUGUGAUUCAUGACUGGGGUGAAGUCGUAACAAGGUA
rnacentral:rRNA from 1 species